rnacentral:lncRNA from 1 species
CUCCGAAAUUGCUUUGAAAUUAUAAUAUAAGAAACUUUUAAUAAUUAAAAAUAUUUUCAAAUUAUGAAAUAAUUUUCAGCUCAACUCCAAUUGAUCCAGGAUCUAUUUGGUGACCGCCAAACCAUUUCAUUGUUUACUUCAUUAAGAUUCUGACAGGCAUGAGACCAGCAUGGCCUUCACAAAGUCGUGAUGAAUCCAAAAACCAAGACUAAUAUCGCUUCCUCUGGUAGCGACACUCUUAAUGCAUGAAGCAGCACAACCACAAAUUGUCUCCACAAGUUGCUUGACUCUCUCACUCCGCUAUCCAUCAUCGUCUUCAUGACCUAUGCUUCUUUCUUCGAGUGGUCCUGAAUGAUCAACCCCCACGCCAAGGUAAGCAUGGUUACCACAAGUAGCUAAGGAGUGAAAGAGCCAGCAUCGGACCAAGACUUGCAGUGC